AUGAAAUGGCUUGUUUUCUCAUACUUUGCUGCUGACACAGUUGCCAUAUUAGAACAAAAUAAAUGGUUAGCGUCCUUGUUAUUAUCUCUCUUAAACCCAGUUGAACGGUCUGAACGCCUGCCAUUGUUCAGUCUCUGUGAUAAGGGGCAUGUGAUUCACCACUACGGCUCAGUAAAUGAAGGCUGGAGAAAGCGCUCACUGGCACGGUGCCCGUCAGAUCGAGACGUCAGAGCCGCACACACUCACGCUGGCACGGGUCCCAUCGCUGCGUCCGCCCAUGCGAGGCCACCGGGCUGUGACGUUACAGAGGGAUAAUUUUGGGAUGACGCAUGCCGGUUCUCUGCGUGGAAUCAUUUUGGCUGCAUGGGUGAGAUUCCUUCCGUCCAUUGUACUCCCCUGAAAUGGAAGUUAUUUCGGGAAGAGCAUGUGCUAUAUAAGGCGACCGCAACUACUGGAGAGAGAGACACCACUGGGGUAAAAGAGAACACUUUCCAUUUUCUCAGAGCGUCUGUCUGCCCCUGCUGAUUUGGAAGAGAGAAAAGGGUGUCUAAGAGUGGAAGAGGUGGUUAUGGUAACUCACAGUGAGACUUCUGGCUGUAAAGCAAAGCUAAUUAUAACAGUACAAGACUGGCAAUACAGGCUAUAAACAGUAUUUUAUGUGUGCCUAAAAUAAAGCACCAGGGCAAAAAAGAGAACAAGCGUUUUAAAGAAACCAAAAAUACACAUUUCCUAUUUUUAUCGUUACACAUUACUAACACAUCAUGAUUAACACAUCCACACACUAAUAUUGUGUUAAUUAAAGAACAAAACAAAACAAAAAAAGUAUUGUAAUAAUAAAAAAAUAGAAAAAGAAAAAAAAAAUUAAAUAAUAAUAAUAAUAAUAAUAAUAAAAUAAAUAAAAAAUAAAAGUUUGAGAACACCUGCCAUAAUGCUAUGCACUAAAUUUGGCCUUCUGAUUUCAAUAUUUUAAUGUUUCAAGCAUUAAAAAGCAUACAUUAUUAAUGCAGUACAAUUAACAUGUCUGUACACUAAUAUUGUGUUGAUUAAAAGAACAAAAAAACGUAAUAAUAAUAAAAAUAAUAAUGUUUCCUAAAUUAUUGAAAUAUUAAUUUAAAAUCUGCGAUGGUAUUUCAAUCAAAUAUUUUAUAAAUAUUUUGUGUUUAUGGGUUUUGACUAGAACAAAAAAAAAAAAAAAAAGUAAAAAAAGAAAUAUAAUUUAAAAUACUAGCGAUGGUAUUUCGAAUCAAAUAUUUUAUAAAUAUUUUAGUGUUUAUGGGUUUUGACUGACAAAAAAAAAAAAAAAAAAAAAGGUUAAGGGAAUAGCGGUAAUAUAAAAACAUCUCCCAUAUGAUUCUUUAUCUGAUCAGACUGUGAAAAUAUUUUUACAUCAAAUUAAUUAAUGAAUCAAUUAAAUAAAUGCAAAACAACUAGAGAUGCACAAUAUAUCCAUGCCAUUUUGAUUACUGGUAUUUCUUUAGAAUUAUUCUGUAUUAAAUACGGGAUGUUUAAUUGUGCAUGCACAUUUGAUUAUCUUUGCUAUCAUCUAGGCUCACUUAUAAAUGUAAU
rnacentral:lncRNA from 1 species